rnacentral:misc_RNA from 1 species
CGAUAGGCUCCACCACUGCGCAGUUCGAGAGACGGUUUAGCGAAGCUAAAUAGCACUCGAACAAGCACGGCCAGCGCUGCUAAGCGCGCCCAUAAGGCGCAGCUUUGCUGCGACUGACGGGCGCAAGCGGGCGCGACGCGCUCGACCAAUAUCCAGAGAUGAAGAGAAACGGUUCCGCAUUCGUGCGGAAAUUGGAGGCUACGGCCUCCCUUAUUUGACAUUGUGAAUGGGUUCUUAAAAUCGAUGCCGUGAUAUCGGCGUUGGUUCGACGAGAACGUUUUGGUUCGGGUUUACCCGGAUUGGAGCGGUUCGAGGCGGACACAACGCUUUAAAUAAUCAGGCUGAGCAUUUUAAUCAUCCGCACCAAGAUACUGUGACAUUGCUGCUCUGCCGAGUUUUGGUUCGAUCCGUCAGGAUCGAUCCCAGCAUUGUCAUUGGUGGUGCGGACUCUCAAGCGUGAGGUAAGGGCAAUUCGUGGAUGCCUUGGCGCAUACAGGCGAUGAAGGACGUGGCACGCUGCGAUA